AGGAAGGAGAUCAGAGCCCUGCUCAGCUCUGGCUUCUGGUGGCAGGAGACAGGAAGAGCAGAGAGCAGAGUUCUGGUCUCUCACAACUGAUCUCCUCUAGGGCAUAGCCUGGCACUGGGCAGCAAAGACCACACCUGAAAACUUAGCUUGUUUACAGAAAGCCUCUUCCAAUGUCAUGAUUGAAUCACCAAGUGAAAUUGCUUGUAAAUGGCCUGGUCCCCCCCCCCCACACUUCAACAACUUUUUUUUUUUUUUUUUCAGGACUCUAGAACCAGUGAAGUUCUAAACCACAAUGCAAUGACCUGGAACUUCUCUAACCUUGAAAAACUAGCUUGUACUUUUCAGGCUCUGAAUCAAGUUCUCAAUCAAGAUGUGAGCAGAUUCCCUGUGUCUGGAGAGACCUGCCAUCUCCUGCAUAAAGGACUGGCUUAUUCUGAGUGUUACCCUGGAGGGAAAGGCCAGCAAAAUAGUUCAUUUGGAUGGUGCACUGCUCUGUCCCAACUCAGGUUCAAGCCCAGCCGUCACUACAUUGAAGGAAGCUUCAGUGCUUUGUGGUCUCUUUCACUCUCUUUGCCUCUCUGUCCUUGUCUAAAAUAAUGCAAAUAAAUAAAUAAAAUCAUUACUUAGACCACA